GACGAACGCUGGCGGCGUGCCUAAUACAUGCAAGUAGAACGCUGAAGGAGGAGCUUGCUCUUCUGGAUGAGUUGCGAACGGGUGAGUAACGCGUGGGUAACCUGCCUGGUAGCGGGGGAUAACUAUUGGAAACGAUAGCUAAUACCGCAUAACAGUAGAUAUUGCAUGAUAUCUGCUUGAAAGGUGCAAUUGCAUCACUACCAGAUGGACCUGCGUUGUAUUAGCUAGUUGGUGAGGUAACGGCUCACCAAGGCGACGAUACAUAGCCGACCUGAGAGGGUGAUCGGCCACACUGGGACUGAGACACGGCCCAGACUCCUACGGGAGGCAGCAGUAGGGAAUCUUCGGCAAUGGACGGAAGUCUGACCGAGCAACGCCGCGUGAGUGAAGAAGGUUUUCGGAUCGUAAAGCUCUGUUGUAAGAGAAGAACGAGUGUGAGAGUGGAAAGUUCACACUGUGACGGUAUCUUACCAGAAAGGGACGGCUAACUACGUGCCAGCAGCCGCGGUAAUACGUAGGUCCCGAGCGUUGUCCGGAUUUAUUGGGCGUAAAGCGAGCGCAGGCGGUUAGAUAAGUCUGAAGUUAAAGGCUGUGGCUUAACCAUAGUACGCUUUGGAAACUGUUUAACUUGAGUGCAAGAGGGGAGAGUGGAAUUCCAUGUGUAGCGGUGAAAUGCGUAGAUAUAUGGAGGAACACCGGUGGCGAAAGCGGCUCUCUGGCUUGUAACUGACGCUGAGGCUCGAAAGCGUGGGGAGCAAACAGG
rnacentral:rRNA from 1 species